rnacentral:rRNA from 1 species
ACUCCUACGGGAGGCAGCAGUGGGGAAUUUUGGACAAUGGGCGAAAGCCUGAUCCAGCAAUGCCGCGUGCAGGAUGAAGGCCCUCGGGUUGUAAACUGCUUUUGUACGGAACGAAAAGCCUGGGGCUAAUAUCCCCGGGUCAUGACGGUACCGUAAGAAU